ACCCCGAGGUGCUCCCUCCGAACUGUCAGAGGUUGAGGGAAGUUCGGCAGCAGCUGGCGCGCGCUUCCAGCUCGGGGCCGUCCAGGUGAACCGAGGGGGAGGGAAGAGGCGGGUCCUCCGCCUAGCUCUUGCGGAAGGUCGUUCCUGCCCCCUGUCUGGCCUCGCAGGACAAUGUCCUACUGACCCGGGUAGUCUUAGCGUUUGUUUCUUGGGAGCCACUGCUGCUCACUGGGAAGCAGAGAGCCGCACGUGAGCGUUCUCCCCUUCAGGAGGCUGCACGGUAGUGCAGUCCCCGCUUCGCCAGGCAUAAGGCAAGCGAGAAGGGACGCACUUCUCCCAGCUCGCUUUGCGAGCCGGCCGUCGCCUCUGCGUUCAGCAACUGAGGCCUGCCGGGAUCUCCCGAGAGGCGGAGAGCCAGCCCGGGGCCUAGCAGCCUUUACCCGUCCGAGAACAGCAGAAUGGGGGGAAUCGGAGCCCCAUGGAAGUGCGCUCGGGCGGGGUGAGGAAGGACCUCCCUCUCUGACAGCAGCCGUACCCCGUGGAGCAGGGGACUCAGCAGCCACGAAGGACUUCUCUGGUCGCCACCUUUCCACAGGGAGUCACGAAGCUUCUGGGGGUGGGGGUUCCUGACCCUGCCUCGGGGCAGGGGCUCUGACUCUGCCAUUCAGGUUUGACGGGGCCCUCAAAGCUCCGAAGCAGCUGCCUCGUACCACCCUCUAGGUCGUGGCGCGAGGAGGUGCAGCAGGGACGCGAGACAUUCCAUAAGCACAGGGGACUGCCACAGAGCACAGUGCGGGCCCCCAGGAGCCGUGAAGGAUAAUUUGAAAGGUGCACAGGUGUCGGUGGGCCUUAAAGAUGGGUAUUGGUACAAGAAAAAAACAAUGUACAAGUCAGCCUAAAAUAGGGAAACAAGUGAGCUUUAAAGAAAAAUAUUCACUUUUGCCACCCCUGUCCAGGAAGAAGAGUGCUGAUCUGCUUUUUCCAGCCCUUGGACUGGAGACUAGAAGCUGCCUGAUCCCAGCAAAGACAGUGUCUGUACCCCUUUAGCACUCCGCCUUGCGGUUAAAUUGACAUAUAUUUCUUUGUGUCCAUGUGUGCUGAAUGGAUUUCAAAACUGUGGCCUGUGGCGACAGUAAUCUCAGAAAUUUCAGAAAGUAAAUGCCUUGUGAUAACUGGACAACAAAUCAUUUCACAAGUCAUGUGGUUUCCCAUUCAUUUCUUUCAUUAAUUUGAAGAAGGACCCAGUUAAAUUGCCAGAAGUUCAUAUGACCUGAAACAGCAAUGAAUUAGGGCAUUCACAGUCUACUAUAAGAAGCACAGUGCAUGGUCUCUGCACAGGUUGAAGUGAUUAGAGAGAAGAUGGAAAAGAAGCAAGCCACAUGAGAAACUAGAACCUGUGAACCUUUUUGACUUUGAGGUCAAGAAAUAGGUCCAGGUGUAUCAAAAGAGCUCAGCAAGUGAUUUGAGUGCAUUAUCCUGUCUUUGAUAUAAUAAUUUUGAAAAUAGAUGUAUUCUAUUCAUAAGACCUUCAAUGAAGAUGUGUAUCUGAAUUCCACACAUAAUAAAGUUGGACCAUGGUAAUUGCUGCCACCUGGUGGGAUAGUGAAAGAAAUUCAGGAUUCUAUAAUAUUACCUCCCUAAACUCUCUCAUUCAAGCAUUCAUGCAUUCAUUCGUCCUUUCAUUCCACAUUUACUAGGUGCCCAGCCCUGGCUAUACUCUGGGGACACAAGGCAAGUAAGACACAGUCUGUGUCCAUGAGGUAUGCAGUGCAGUCAUCCAGACCCAAUAUAUUGUUAAAAUAUUGUCACAGAAGAGAGUACCCUUCUUGGAUUGAGGUAAUGGAGGAACCAAAAGGUUUUCCCAAAGGAACAUAAUCCAGAGAUUCAUGGAUAGCCAGGCUGACUCCACUUAUGUGGCUUUCUGUUGUGAAAAUGGUUUCCUGGACAGGAUUUCCCUGCCCAUUUCUGCUGGUCCUUUCCCACUAGUAGGAAAGACAAAGGAAGAUGCAGUGCUGACCAGCCUCAGAACCUCAGAGGGUAUAUGGGGUAUCUUCCUUUUGCAUCUCUGGAUACACUUGCUACCCAUCUUCUUCCUGCUCUGUGCCCCAGAAGGCAAACCAGGGUGGACUGCCUCUAUCUCCUCUCUUGCACACUGACUUUCUGUUCCAUUCAGAUACUAUUGGAGGUGAGGAGGAGACCUGCAAGCAGAAGAAGAACUAGAUCACAAUAUUUAUGCUCAGACUCCCUUGCAUCCAGGAUAUCAGGGACUUACUGCAUCCCUCAAAAAAAGGUCUCAGUUCAUCCCUCCCUUUGCCCUUUCAGACACAGAUGUGGUAACAGGGCUGGCUCUCGGGGGCUACACUAAUCCUUGUGGUUUUCUGUUCACACCUUUGUACAUAAUCCCUUCUAGUCGUCUUAAUUUGAGUGUGCCACUGUUUUCUUCCUUACUGACUGAUACAUUAAUAGA